rnacentral:rRNA from 1 species
UACGUAGGGGGCUAGCGUUAUCCGGAAUUACUGGGCGUAAAGGGUGCGUAGGUGGUUUCUUAAGUCAGAGGUGAAAGGCUACGGCUCAACCGUAGUAAGCCUUUGAAACUGGGGAACUUGAGUGCAGGAGAGGAGAGUGGAAUUCCUAGUGUAGCGGUGAAAUGCGUAGAUAUUAGGAGGAACACCAGUUGCGAAGGCGGCUCUCUGGACUGUAACUAACAUUGAGGCACGAAAGCGUGGGGAGCAAACAGG